GACGAACGCUGGCGGCGUGCUUAACACAUGCCCUCAAAGGGAAAGGCCCUGCUUUUGUGGGGUGCUCGAGUGGCGAACGGGUGAGUAACACGUGAGUAACCUGCCCUUGACUUUGGGAUAACUUCAGGAAACUGGGGCUAAUACCGGAUAGGAGCUCCUGCUGCAUGGUGGGGGUUGGAAAGUUUCGGCGGUUGGGGAUGGACUCGCGGCUUAUCAGCUUGUUGGUGGGGUAGUGGCUUACCAAGGCUUUGACGGGUAGCCGGCCUGAGAGGGUGACCGGCCACAUUGGGACUGAGAUACGGCCCAGACUCCUACGGGAGGCAGCAGUGGGGAAUAUUGCACAAUGGGCGGAAGCCUGAUGCAGCAACGCCGCGCGCGGGAUGACGGCCUUCGGGUUGUAAACCGCUUUCGCCUGUGACGAAGCGUGAGUGACGGUAAUGGGUAAAGAAGCACCGGCUAACUACGUGCCAGCAGCCGCGGUGAUACGUAGGGUGCGAGCGUUGUCCGGAUUUAUUGGGCGUAAAGGGCUCGUAGGUGGUUGAUCGCGUCGGAAGUGUAAUCUUGGGGCUUAACCCUGAGCGUGCUUUCGAUACGGGUUGACUUGAGGAAGGUAGGGGAGAAUGGAAUUCCUGGUGGAGCGGUGGAAUGCGCAGAUAUCAGGAGGAACACCAGUGGCGAAGGCGGUUCUCUGGGCCUUUCCUGACGCUGAGGAGCGAAAGCGUGGGGAGCGAACAGGCUUAGAUACCCUGGUAGUCCACGCUGUAAACGGUGGGUACUAGGUGUGGGGUCCAUUCCACGGGUUCCGUGCCGUAGCUAACGCUUUAAGUACCCCGCCUGGGGAGUACGGCCGCAAGGCUAAAACUCAAAGGAAUUGACGGGGCCCCGCACAAGCGGCGGAGCAUGCGGAUUAAUUCGAUGCAACGCGUAGAACCUUACCUGGGUUUGACAUGGAUCGGGAGUGCUCAGAGAUGGGUGUGCCUCUUUUGGGGUCGGUUCACAGGUGGUGCAUGCCUGUCGUCAGCUCGUGUCGUGAGAUGUUGGGUUAAGUCCCGCAACGAGCGCAACCCUUGUUCACUGUUGCCAGCACGUUAUGGUGGGGACUCAGUGGAGACCGCCGGGGUCAACUCGGAGGAAGGUGGGGAUGACGUCAAGUCCUCGUGCCCCUUAUGUCCAGGGCUUCACGCAUGCUACAAUGGCUGGUACAGAGAGUGGCGAGCCUGUGAGGGUGAGCGAAUCUCGGAAAGCCGAUCUCAGUUAAGAUUGGGGUCUGCAACUCGACCUCAUGAAGUCGGAGUCGCUAGUAAUCGCAGAUCAGCAACGCUGCGCUUAUAGGGUCCCGGGGCU
rnacentral:rRNA from 1 species